rnacentral:rRNA from 1 species
AAUGAACGUUGGCGGCGUGGAUUAGGCAUGCAAGUCGAGCGAGAACCCGCAAGGGGGACAGCGGCGAACGGGGUAGGAAUACGUAGGUAACGUACCCUCGGGGCGAGGACAGCCACGGGAAACUGUGGGUAAUACUCGAUAAACUUCCCAAUCAUUAUGGAAGGGGAAGCAAUGGGUGUGAUUCCACCUGAGGAGCGGCUUACGCAGUAUCAGCUAGUUGGUGAGGUAACGGCUCACCAAGGCUACGACGCUUAGGGGGGUGUGAGAGCAUGGCCCCCACCACUGGCACUGAGACACUGGCCAGACACCUACGGGUGGCUGCAGUCGAGAAUCUUCGGCAAUGGACGCAAGUCUGACCGAGCGACGCCGCGUGUGGGAUGAAGGCCCUUGGGUGUAAGCCGCUGUCGAGGGGGAUGAAGGCUUGAAGGUACUCCUUCAAGUUUGACAGAGCCCAGAAGGAAGCACGGGCUAAGUUCGUGCCAGCAGCCGCGGU